GCGGGAAGGUAGGCGGCGCACGGCUGGCGGAGUCUGGCGGCGAGCGGGAGGGGGUCGCAGGGACAGGAUGGUGGCCUGACAGAGAGCGGACGUCUCGGUAAUGGCCGGACGCUGCUAUGCUAAAAGCCCCUGAACACUAUCCUCCACCCCCUCCCUUGAAGAGUUUGCAAUCUGUAGAAGAAACAAGGCAGGGACAUGUACUUUUCCACUAAAAGAGAAUUAAGAUUUUUUGUUUUUUAAACCACACUAACAGUUUAAAAAAGAAAGAAAGAAAGAAAAAACCUCAAACGACGAAAGUUGAAACUCACCGGCCGGUCUAGAAAGGGAAGGAUGCUAUCAAGAGGAAGAAGGGACAUGAUCAAUGAAAGUCUCUGAUGAGACAAAAGGGAAUUGCUUCAAGAGUACAGAGUAGGCAUCAGCCUUUCAGAGUUGUGCUUCUGAUUCUUGCCGUGGCUGUCUUUGUUGCCAUCACCAUAGCAGUUCACAAUGGGUCGUAAAGCAGUGGAGACAACUCGCAACAUCAACAACGCAUUUGGCCCAGAAACUGCUAAGGAAUGUACAGUGCAGUGGUGGUUUAAGAAGUUUUUCAAGGAGAGGAGAGCCCUGAUGAAGAGGAGCACAGUGGCCGACCAUCAGAAGUUGACAACAACCAAUUGAGAGCAAUCGCCGAAGCUGAUCCUCUAAGGAAUACAGGAGAAGUUGCUGAAGAACUCAAUGGUGAGCAUUCAUUCUGUGGUCAUUUAGCAUUUGAAACAAAUUGGAAAGGUGAAAAAGCUCAAUAAGUGGGUGUCUCAUGAGCUGUCUGAAAAUCAAAAAAAACCAUCAUCUCUUAUUGUGCACAAAAACAAUGAAACCCAUCAUCUCUAACGAAAUUACAAUACAAUAAAAUAAGAUAAAAUAAAGCUCAGAAAAAAAAAGCAGUACUACUAGCGAGACAGAUCAUAAGAACAAGGGGCGGGGGGUAGGAAGUCACUACCGUGUUAUAAAAUUGUAUGAACGUUA